AUGUAUUACCCCAUACACUGCGGUUCCUGCGCGCCGUGCGCCUUGCCCUAAGGCCGCUCGCUACGGUUUUUAGCA
rnacentral:sRNA from 1 species